GGCUGUCUGACCCUCUGGUUGCAAGCCGGAGUUUGCUUUACAGCGGCAGCCU
rnacentral:tRNA from 1 species